AUUUUAUCUUAAUUUGGUGUAAAAUUUGUGGUAUAAUAUUGGACCCCUUUCUUGUUUCAGCAUGGAAGACAUGCUCCUCACUGUUUUUACUUUUUAAAUUCACUGAACUCCGUUUCAAGAGUGAUUUCAAGAAUCUGCACUUACGUGGCCAUUUUAUCCCAUAGUAUCUAGUUUAAAAAAUGUGUCAGUCUCUCCCUGAAAAAAAUGUCUGGCAUUUACUCAAUGAAAGGGCAACGUGCUAGGUGUUGAUGAAGAAGAAUGCCAUAUUUAUUAAAAGCAAUCUCUGGAUUUUUAAAGUUGGAGAAAGAUUCCAUGGAAAAUCCCAUUUAGCCGUCCAAUUCUAGUAUUGUUGGAAAGCGCACCUAAUUUUUUUUCAAAGAGGAUUAAAUGAAAUUUUGCACAACCAGAGCGUAACAUUCUACCUGGCAUGUGGAAAUUGGAAUUUCCUGGCUAAAACAGAAAUAAGUCUGAUUGUAAGAAAAAAGUGUCUACACAUUGACAAUUUUCCAAAGGAGGAAUAAAGAAGCUUUAUUUGGGUAUUUCAGAACACCGAGGGACAUGAUUGUUUAAGGCAAAACCUCUGGGCCACUGCUCCAGAGCUGGGGGCAAGAGAGUGGCCUGUUUCUCUUGGAGCGAUGCUUCGUGACUGAGCACAGUGCUGGGCUGGGGCAGCAGCAGCCUGUUUUCUUCAGCUUGCCUAUACAAAUGCAGAACCUUUUCACCAUCAGCAAGUUGGGAGGAGGACAGACGGGGCUUUGGUACUCUCAGGCUGCUGUACCUGGGGUAGAAAUGCCCACUUAUGAGUGGAAGCUGAGUGGAGGAAAGCAGCCCCAGAGUUUUCAGCUCCUCUUACCUGGAAUCAAACCUCUGCAACAUGGGACUUGAGGUGGAUGGGAGGUGAGAGAAGCUGGCAUGCCUGCCCCUCCCAGUGAGGUACCGUAUUCCUUGACUGGGAGCUCAGAGGGAGCGGGAGCCAUGUGUUCUUGGUGACACCUACACGAAGUGGAUCUUCCCUCACUUGGAGCUUCAGGGAGGGGAAGGCAGUUGGGGCAGAGGAGCGGGUUGUGGCUCAAAUGUCAGACAUUCUCACUAUUCUUAGUAAAAUGUAGUAGAUUUUCUUGAAUAAAUGUUUCUUCAUUUGAUGUAUGUCCUGCACAUUUUCCAGAGACUUUAAACAGUGAGUGUUCGGGGUUUUUUGAAAUAAUAUUCACCAGUUAUGGCUGUUUUACUGGAGAGAAGCUCUGCAGAAUCCCUCAUGCCCUCAUUCAAAAGUUGUCUCAAUCUCAUUUAUUUUUAACAUAUCAUUGCUCCUAAAUUAUACACCACCCCAAAAUAAUGUAGUUUUGGAAAUCACUAAAGGUAGUUGCAAGAUUACAUAUUAUGAGAAAAACGUUUGAAUAAAUAAAAAUGCUGGUACUCUUGCACUGCAUUUAAGCUUAGACAUUUAUCCCAUGCCUUUUUAGCUUAAAUAAGAGAAAUUUCACUUGGUCCAGGCACAUGUGGGGGUCAUUUUGGUGAUCUUGGUCUGAUCUAAGACAGGUCUAGAAUAUUUUUGAGUUCCUUAUUUUCAUUUCUGCAUAGUCAUCCAGUACCUUCUGUGAAAACUGUACUUAUUAGGAACAGUGAGUUCAAUGAUUAGGCAUUGCUACUAUCCUCAUCAGGGCCACGCUGUAUGGUUGUGCCCUGUACAAGGGCUCCAGCUGAGGGGUGAAUGGGGGUCUGAAAUCCAGCCCAUACUCUGUUCAUCAUGGUGCAGAACUGUGUUAAUCCAGAGAUGGGUACACCUUCAUUCUAGUUCACACACAGGUAUCUUGUGGGCUUGCAAACAUCCUGACUUUCAAGGAUUUUUCUGUGCCUGGGGGAAACAGAGACCAAACAAGGCUUGUUCUUGGACUUUGAAGGAAGUGACAUCAUAUCAACCUUGACAGCAAAAUCUCUUUACCGCAGUAUGUGAUGAUACUUUGCUGUGAAAGAAAGUUGACCUUCACUAGUUAAAUACCUGUUUAAAAGACUGAGAGCAGUGUUCAUAGCAGUAUUAUUCACAAUAACCAAAAUGCGGAAACAACCAAAGUGUCCAUCAACAAAUGAAGGGAUAAGCAAAACACGGUAUAUGCACACAAUAGCAUAUUACUCAGGCUUACAGAUGAAGGAAAUUCUGAUACCUGCUACAACAUGGAUGAACUCUGAAAACAUGCUAAGUGCUAUAAGCCAGACUCAAAAAGACAAAUACUGCAUGAUUCCAUUUAUAUGAGGCAGUGAAGCAGCUGAAGCCAGGGGCGUGGUGGGUUAUGGUACAUACGCCAUCACACUGGCGGAAAAUGAAGACCAGGUCGCCUGGGCCCUCACAUCUCCUGACAUUCACCUUCAGCCACAGCAGGAACCACAGAUUAAAGAAGGAAUGAUGGAUGCUGGCCUAUUAGUUGAACAAUGUAAACAACAGAUGCAGCCAUUUGCCAUUACAGGACACCGACACUGAUUCUCUGAGAUGCCAGAAUGUGGUUUGACUGGCAAAUAAGAAUUGUAUAGGUUUUUUUUAUUGUAAAUUUGUAAAAUGCAAAAGCACACAGAAGGAUCCUUAGAAAUAAAAAUUCCAAACAUUUGCUCUGUGGGUUCAUUUUUGGUUUUUUUAACCAAACUGUCAUCAGGCCAA
ensembl:lncRNA